rnacentral:rRNA from 1 species
UUUAAUUCGAAGCAACGCGAAGAACCUUACCAAAUCUUGACAUCCUUUGACAACUCUAGAGAUAGAGCCUUCCCCUUCGGGGGACAAAGUGACAGGUGGUGCAUGGUUGUCGUCAGCUCGUGUCGUGAGAUGUUGGGUUAAGUCCCGCAACGAGCGCAACCCUUAAGCUUAGUUGCCAGCAUUAAGUUGGGCACUCUAAGUUGACUGCCGGUGACAAACCGGAGGAAGGUGGGGAUGACGUCAAAUCAUCAUGCCCCUUAUGAUUUGGGCUACACACGUGCUACAAUGGACAAUACAAAGGGCAGCUAAACCGCGAGGUCAUGCAAAUCCCAUAAAGUUGUUCUCAGUUCGGAUUGUAGUCUGCAACUCGACUACAUGAAGCUGGAAUCGCUAGUAAUCGUAGAUCAGCAUGCUA